UGGGAUCCGUUCCGAUUGUUGAACAAACAUAGAUCAAGAGUAUUGUGAGAGGAAAUAGAAAUUGAAUCUCUAUGUUGUUGAGUGAGAAAUCGAAUUUGUGAAUAUUGAGUUCUGUUUGGUGGAUUGAAAGCCGGUGACCGAAGAUAUGGGUGUGGUUCAAUUGUCAGGGACGAUGUUGUGCCGUAUUGGCUGUAAUGGUUGAACAGUGAAGGACAUCCAUAUAAGAGAUGGGUAGAAUUGGAUGCGUCCAGGUUUAGAAUGUGGAAGAAAUGAUUAGUUUCGGAAUGUGUUAUCAGUGUGAAGAUAUAUAUCCAGUGAUGGGAACAUAGUCAGUGGAUAUGUGCGGUCCGUCAAGGCAAUGCAGUAUUACAUGAUAUGGUGUCAUGAGAUGGAAGAAAGACAAGUGAGUGGAAUAGGAGAUUUGUGGGAGACGAGAUUACAAACGGUUCAUAUUCGACUAUCAAGAGGAAUGUAUGGGUGGUUGUAGAAAUUGAUGUCAUUUUAGAUUCGGAGCAACAUUUCUUACGUAACCGCUUUUCUCGACUAAAUCAUCCAUC
rnacentral:lncRNA from 1 species